UACGGGGGGGGGCAAGCGUUGUUCGGAAUUACUGGGCGUAAAGGGCUCGUAGGCGGCCAACUAAGUCAGACGUGAAAUCCCUCGGCUUAACCGGGGAACUGCGUCUGAUACUGGAUGGCUAGAGUUUGGGAGAGGGAUGCAGAAUUCCAGGUGUAGCGGUGAAAUGCGUAGAUAUCUGGAGGAAUACCGGUGGCGAAGGCGGCAUCCUGGACCAACACUGACACUGAAUCGCGAAAGCUAGGGGAGCAAACGGG
rnacentral:rRNA from 1 species